rnacentral:tRNA from 1 species
AGCUUUACCCUUCUAAAUAACUGCCUCUCGUUGGCAUGAAGAGCGUCCCCUUCACACGGGGAAGGUCGUAGGUUCGAUCCCUACAGUGCCCACCA